CCCUGUAUCGAAAGGUGAUGGCAGCGUCCCUGUGGCUGCGGUCAUUUAUUAAUACAGGCAGAUAAACCGAGAGCUUUCCCGUGUUUGAAGGAGUGUUGGUUCCUCUCAGACCCUGACGCUCUCGGACA